GUAGGGCGAAAGCCUGAUCCAGCAAUGCCGCGUGAGUGAUGAAGGCCUUAGGGUUGUAAAGCUCUUUUACCCGGGAUGAUAAUGACAGUACCGGGAGAAUAAGCCCCGGCUAACUCCGUGCCAGCAGCCGCGGUAAUGCGGGAGGGGGCUAGCGUUGUUCGGAAUUACUGGGCGUAAAGCGCACGUAGGCGGCUUUGUAAGUUAGAGGCGAAAGCCCGGAGCUCAACUCCGGAACUGCCUUUUAAGACUGCAUCGCUUGAACGUCGGAGAGGUAAGUGGAAUUCCGAGUGUAGAGGUGAAAUUCGUAGAUAUUCGGAAGAACACCAGUGGCGAAGGCGACUUACUGGACGACUGUUGACGCUGAGGUGCGAAAGCGUGGGGAGCAAACAGGAUUAGGUACCCUGGUAGUCCACGCCGUAAACGAUGAUGACUAGCUGUCGGAGCUCAUGGAGCUUCGGUGGCGCAGCUAACGCGUUAAGUCAUCCGCCUGGGGAGUACGGCCGCAAGGUUA
rnacentral:rRNA from 1 species